GACGAACGCUGGCGGCGUGCUUAACACAUGCAAGUCGAACGGAAAGGCCCUGCUUUUGUGGGGUGCUCGAGUGGCGAACGGGUGAGUAACACGUGAGUAACCUGCCCUUGACUUUGGGAUAACUUCAGGAAACUGGGGCUAAUACCGGAUAGGAGCUCCUGCUGCAUGGUGGGGGUUGGAAAGUUUCGGCGGUUGGGGAUGGACUCGCGGCUUAUCAGCUUGUUGGUGGGGUAGUGGCUUACCAAGGCUUUGACGGGUAGCCGGCCUGAGAGGGUGACCGGCCACAUUGGGACUGAGAUACGGCCCAGACUCCUACGGGAGGCAGCAGUGGGGAAUAUUGCACAAUGGGCGGAAGCCUGAUGCAGCAACGCCGCGUGCGGGAUGACGGCCCUCGGGUUGUAAACCGCUUUCGCCUGUGACGAAGCGUGAGUGACGGUAAUGGGUAAAGAAGCACCGGCUAACUACGUGCCAGCAGCCGCGGUGAUACGUAGGGUGCGAGCGUUGUCCGGAUUUAUUGGGCGUAAAGGGCUCGUAGGUGGUUGAUCGCGUCGGAAGUGUAAUCUUGGGGCUUAACCCUGAGCGUGCUUUCGAUACGGGUUGACUUGAGGAAGGUAGGGGAGAAUGGAAUUCCUGGUGGAGCGGUGGAAUGCGCAGAUAUCAGGAGGAACACCAGUGGCGAAGGCGGUUCUCUGGGCCUUUCCUGACGCUGAGGAGCGAAAGCGUGGGGAGCGAACAGGCUUAGAUACCCUGGUAGUCCACGCUGUAAACGGUGGGUACUAGGUGUGGGGUCCAUUCCACGGGUUCCGUGCCGUAGCUAACGCUUUAAGUACCCCGCCUGGGGAGUACGGCCGCAAGGCUAAAACUCAAAGGAAUUGACGGGGCCCCGCACAAGCGGCGGAGCAUGCGGAUUAAUUCGAUGCAACGCGUAGAACCUUACCUGGGUUUGACAUGGAUCGGGAGUGCUCAGAGAUGGGUGUGCCUCUUUUGGGGUCGGUUCACAGGUGGUGCAUGGCUGUCGUCAGCUCGUGUCGUGAGAUGUUGGGUUAAGUCCCGCAACGAGCGCAACCCUUGUUCACUGUUGCCAGCACGUUAUGGUGGGGACUCAGUGGAGACCGCCGGGGUCAACUCGGAGGAAGGUGGGGAUGACGUCAAGUCAUCAUGCCCCUUAUGUCCAGGGCUUCACGCAUGCUACAAUGGCUGGUACAGAGAGUGGCGAGCCUGUGAGGGUGAGCGAAUCUCGGAAAGCCGGUCUCAGUUCGGAUUGGGGUCCGCAACUCGACCUCAUGAAGUCGGAGUCGCCAGUAAUCGCAGAUCAGCAACGCUGCGGUGAAUACGUUCCCGGGGCU
rnacentral:rRNA from 1 species